GGAAUAUAAGACCCCGUCUCUUAACUUUUAACUAAAAAAGUUAAGAACCGGUUCUUAAAUAAGAUAUUUAAGAACCGGCUCUUAGCUUUUUUUAGUUAAAAGUUAAGAGAUUGAGUCUUAUAUUCC
rfam:Brassica napus, WGS project CCCW01000000 data, contig: 1745